CCUACGGGAGGCAGCAGUGAGGAAUAUUGGUCAAUGGACGAGAGUCUGAACCAGCCAAGUAGCGUGAAGGAUGACUGCCCUAUGGGUUGUAAACUUCUUUUAUAUGGGAGUAAAAUGUUCCACGUGUGGGAUUUUGUAUGUACCAUAUGAAUAAGGAUCGGCUAACUCCGUGCCAGCAGCCGCGGUAAUACGGAGGAUCCGAGCGUUAUCCGGAUUUAUUGGGUUUAAAGGGAGCGUAGGUGGAUUGUUAAGUCAGUUGUGAAAGUUUGCGGCUCAACCGUAAAAUUGCAGUUGAAACUGGCAGUCUUGAGUACAGUAGAGGUGGGCGGAAGUCGUGGUGUAGCGGUGAAAUGCUUAGAUAUCACGAAGAACUCCGAUUGCGAAGGCAGUUCACUGGACUGCAACUGACACUGAGGCUCGAAAGUGUGGGUAUCAAACAGGAUUAGAUACCCGAGUAGUC
rnacentral:rRNA from 1 species